UACGUAGGGUGCAAGCGUUAAUCGGAAUUACUGGGCGUAAAGGGUGCGCAGGCGGUUUUGUAAGUCAGAUGUGAAAUCCCCGGGCUUAACCUGGGAACUGCGUUUGAAACUACAAGACUAGAGUGUAGCAGAGGGGGUGGAAUUCCAUGUGUAGCAGUGAAAUGCGUAGAGAUAUGGAGGAACAUCGAUGGCGAAGGCAGCCCCUGGGUUAACACUGACGCUCAGGCACGAAAGCGUGGGGAGCAAACAG
rnacentral:rRNA from 1 species